rnacentral:rRNA from 1 species
UACGUAGGUGGCGAGCGUUGUCCGGAUUUACUGGGCGUAAAGCGCGCGCAGGCGGACUGAUCAGUCUGGGGUGAAAUCUCACGGCUCAACUGUGAGCGGUCCCUGGAUACUGUCAGCCUUGAGAUGUCUAGAGGAGAGCGGAAUUCCCGGUGUAGUGGUGGAAUGCGUAGAUAUCGGGAAGAACACCAGUGGCGAAAGCGGCUCUCUGGGGACCAUCUGACGCUGAGGCGCGAAAGCGUGGGGAGUGAACCGG